rnacentral:pre_miRNA from 1 species
UGUGUACUCCCUCCGUUCCAAAAUACUUGACUUCCAUUUGUCCAAAAAUGGAUGUACCUAUAUACUAAAACAUGUCUAGAUACAUCUAUAUUUUGACAAAUAGAAGGCAUGUAUUGUGGAACGGAAGGAGUAGAAU